GCCCGAGUGGCUCAAUGGUUGAGCAUCCAUCUAUGAACUAGGAGGCCACUGGUUCGAUUCCAGGUCAGGGUA
rfam:Myotis lucifugus cont2.33236, whole genome shotgun sequence.